rnacentral:rRNA from 1 species
AGCAGCCGCGGUAAUUCCAGCUCCAAUAGCGUAUAUUAAAGUUGUUGCAGUUAAAAGGCUCGUAGUUGAAUUUCGGGGUCAGUAGGUCGGUCGUGCCACUGGUAUGCACUGGUCUCACUGAUUCCUCCUUCCUGAUGAACCGUAAUGCCAUUAAUUUGGUGUUGCGGGGAAACUGGACUGUUACUUUGAAAAAAUUAGAGUGUUUAGAGCAGGCUAACGCUUGAAUACAUUAGCAUGGAAUAAUGAAAUAGGACGUUCGAUCCUAUUUUGUUGGUUUCUAGGAUUGACGUAAUGAUUAAUAGGGAUAGUUGGGGGCAUUAGUAUUCAAUUGUCAGAGGUGAAAUUCUUGGAUUUAUUGAAGACUAACUACUGCGAAAGCAUUUGCCAAGGAUGUUUUCAUUAAUCAAGAACGAAAGUUAGGGGAUCGAAGACGAUCAGAUACCGUCGUAGUCUUAACCAUAAACUAUGCCGACUAGGGAUCGGAUGAUGUUAAUUUUUUAAUGACUCA